UACAGAGGGGGCAAGCGUUGUUCGGAAUUACUGGGCGUAAAGGGCGCGUAGGCGGCCCGCUAAGUCGAACGUGAAAUCCCCGAGCUCAACUCGGGAACUGCGUCCGAUACUGGCGGGCUUGAAUCCGGGAGAGGGAUGUGGAAUUCCAGGUGUAGCGGUGAAAUGCGUAGAUAUCUGGAGGAACACCGGUGGCGAAGGCGACAUCCUGGACCGGUAUUGACGCUGAGGCGCGAAAGCCAGGGGAGCAAACGGG
rnacentral:rRNA from 1 species